rnacentral:rRNA from 1 species
CCUACGGGAGGCAGCAGUGGGGAAUAUUGGGCACUGGGCGCAAGCCUGACCCAGCAACGCCGCGUGAAGGAAGAAGGCGUUCGGGUUGUAAACUUCUUUUCUCAGGGACGAAGCAAGUGACUGUACCUGAGGACUAAGCCACGGCUAACUACGUGCCAGCAGCCGCUGUAAUACGUCGGUGGCAAGCGUUAUCCGGAUUUACUCGGUGUAAAGGGCGUGUAGGCGGGACAGCAAGUCAGAUGUGAAAACCAUGGGCUCAACCUGUGGCCUGCAUUUGAAACUGUUUUUCUUGAGUACUGGAGAGGCAGACGGAAUUCCGAGUGUAGCGGUGAAAUGCGUAGAUAUUAGGAGGAACGCCAGUGGCGAAGGCGGUCUGCUGGACAGCAACUGACGCUGAGGCGCGAAAGCGUGGGGAGCGAACAGGAUUAGAUACCCCUGUAGUC